ACUCUUAUAGUUUAAAAAAAACAGUAGAUUUUCUUCCUGCAGUUUUCCUAUUAGGAAUAAGGGUU
rnacentral:tRNA from 1 species